CCAUCAGUACUCCCAACCAUUUUCUUCUAAACUCCGCUCCGAGAAACUUAAGACUAGCACAGUCACUUACACGAACAAAUGCUCACAGACUAGAAAUGCUUCCAAUAUUAUAUUCUCCGAGAAGCGAAACCACAAUCAAACUGUCAAUAACCUAUCUCAAGAAGAUCUCUUUGCUCUUCGAAGUUGCAAAACCAAACUCCCUAAAUUCAAAUAACCACACAAAGUUUGAAACAACCCACUUCCGAUUUUGUAUUUAGAUUCACAACACCCUCAACUGCACAGCUCAGACCAUCAAAUCACCUCAAUUCGCAAUAAAAAUGAGAUAUUCUUGGUGAGUUUUCUGCCAAAAAAACAGCCCUUUUGUCAAAUUUCCACUUACCUUUUCCCCUAAGACAAUUCAGAUUCCACAAAAUUUCAACAAAUACCGAAGAGGGUUUCAGAUCACCCCACACAAGAUUUGCAUUCCAACACGCAAAGCAAAAACAUAUAGAAGUCUUAGCGAGCAGGUUCAGCGGCUAUCCAAGGCCCACCAAAACGAAUCAACGCAAACAAAGCGAAAGGAAAGAAGAAGAAGAAACAAACUCUGCUUUGUGUUUGCCGACGCGGUUGGGUGGACUGACUUGGCUUUGGCUCCUUCUAAUUGGUACGCUCCAAAUCCAAACGUGUACCCAAAAAAGCUGUCAAAUUUACACCUUAUACCGACGAACGCAAAAGGGUUAUCUUUGCUGAGGUGGGUUUUGGCGUGUGAAACGAGAAUGUGGCGUGAAAUGAACUUGCUUGGCCUCCUCGCUCUACUCCUGUACCCUAAUGGUCACGUUGUCUCUGGAAGAAGAACAAGCGGCCAGUGCUCGUAAUUGCCUUCUACGCGGCAGCAGCUUAUGCGUUCACGUUGUCAAGAAAUGGAGACUGUUGGCGGUUGCUGUUGGCCAGUUUGUCACACCUCCCAAUGAGAGCAACUUAGAUACACCUCCCAAUGAUUCACCUCGGCAUGUCCAAGUGAUUCGGGAUGUAUUGCGCUUGUAUUUCAGACGCCACAUCUUUGAAUUUAAUUCCUGAUUCUUUGAGAAUUCUGGAAAUCUUGUUAAUUCAUCAUAAAUCAUGCGAUUAGAAAUUAUUUUAAAUAUUUUUAUUUAAAAUUAAAUAUGAAUAAUAUCUGAUAAAAAUUGAUCGUAUGAUGUACGAUCAACAGAUACAAUUUGAGGAUCCUCAUUCAUUCCUGACGUUGGUGAAUUGCAUGAUAAUAGAGGCUGAAAUGUUUACGUGAGUAUUUAGUGGACUACCUAUAAUACCCUCAGGUAUUUUAGAAAAUGACAACGUUUAUCCUUGUCUUUCUCCUUGCUCUCGUUCCGUCGUUCGUCUCUCCCAUCUCCUCCCGUCGCUCUCUCGCUCCAGUUGUCCUUGGGAGACAAGACGUCGUAAGUAGAUAUGGUUAGCUGACUUGUGCAAGGGGGGAUCAUGAACCACAGAUCAUCGAAGCGUCGAAUAUUGUUAAAUUCAAAGAGGUAAGUGAUCAUAACAAUCCUAGAUAUAACAAGCCACACUUGGUUGUUGGAGAACUUACCCGUGGAAAUAAUGAAAGAAGAAAGCUCACAGCACAAUGGUGUAAAUAAUCCAUUCCAAAAGUAUUAAACUUCUGUCAAUGAAAGUGGCAAGAAAUACUUUAGAGGUCCCAAAUGCUUGUAGGCCUUUCAUUUGGAGUCGGCGACAUGAAUCUCUGAUCAUUUGGAUCCCAAUGUUUAAGAUCUUGAAACAAGUGGUGACUUUGUAAACUCAAACAUGAGUAAUUAAAGUGUACAUACGAAUCAUAUUUGUGAACUUAUCUUGUUAUGCUAUUUGAGGCUUCUUGUGAAUUGGUUUGAUACAAGGACCUAAUGUAUUGUAUAAUUUCAGGUUACUGAAGUUUAUAUUUGAACUAUUAUGUGGCUGACGGUAUUUUAGGCAUCUAUUCUAAAUUUUAACGUUUAUAAUA